GUGGGGAAUUUUGGACAAUGGGCGCAAGCCUGAUCCAGCCAUUCCGCGUGCAGGAUGAAGGCCUUCGGGUUGUAAACUGCUUUUGUACGGAACGAAAAGGUUCUCUCUAAUACAGGGGGCUGAUGACGGUACCGUAAGAAUAAGCACCGGCUAACUACGUGCCAGCAGCCGCGGUAAUACGUAGGGUGCAAGCGUUAAUCGGAAUUACUGGGCGUAAAGCGUGCGCAGGCGGUGAUGUAAGACAGAUGUGAAAUCCCCGGGCUCAACCUGGGAACUGCAUUUGUGACUGCAUUGCUGGAGUGCGGCAGAAGGGGAUGGAAUUCCGCGUGUAGCAGUGAAAUGCGUAGAUAUGCGGAGGAACACCGAUGGCGAAGGCAAUCCCCUGGGCCUGCACUGACGCUCAUGCACGAAAGCGUGGGGAGCAAACAGGAUUAGAUACCCGAGUAGUCC
rnacentral:rRNA from 1 species